rnacentral:rRNA from 1 species
CCUACGGGAGGCAGUAGGGAAUUUUCGUCAAUGGGCGCAAGCCUGAACGAGCAAUGCCGCGUGAACGAGGAAGGUCUUCGGAUCGUAAAGUUCUGUUGAAGGGGAAAAAGAGCGGAGAGAGGAAAUGGUCUCCGAUUGAUAUUACCCUUCGAGGAAGUCACGGCUAACUACGUGCCAGCAGCCGCGGUAAUACGUAGGUGGCGAGCGUUAUCCGGAAUGAUUGGGCGUAAAGGGUGCGUAGGCGGCCUGCUAAGUCUGGAGUGAAAGGUACCGGCUCAACCGGUAUAGGCUCUGGAAACUGGCGG